rnacentral:rRNA from 1 species
AUACGGAGGGUCCAAGCGUUAUCCGGAAUCAUUGGGUUUAAAGGGUGCGCAGGCGGUUUAUUAAGUCAGUGGUGAAAUCUCGGGGCUCAACCUCGAAACUGCCAUUGAUACUGAUAAACUUGAGUUCAGUUGGAGUAGGCGGAAUGUGUAGUGUAGCGGUGAAAUGCUUAGAUAUUACACAGAACACCGAUAGCGAAGGCAGCUUACUAAACUGAUACUGACGCUGAGGCACGAAAGCGUGGGGAGCGAACAGGAUUAGAUACCCUAGUAGUCC